rnacentral:rRNA from 1 species
UGCCAGCCGCCGCGGUAAUACGGAAGGGGCAAGCGUUGUUCGGAAUUAUUGGGCGUAAAGGGCGUGCAGGCGGUCUCAUAUGUCUGCUGUGAAAUCACACGGCUCAACCGUGUUAAGCCGCAGAAACUGUGGGACUUGAGGCUGGGAGGGGCUGGUGGAAUUCCCUGUGUAGCGGUGAAAUGCGUAGAGAUGGGGGAGAACACUCGUGGCGAAGGCGGCCAGCUGGACCAGUUCUGACGCUGAGACGCGAAAGCGUGGGGAGCAAACAGGAUUAGAUA